rnacentral:rRNA from 1 species
UGCGUAGGCGGUCGGGUAAGUCUGAUGUGAAAUCUCCGGGCCCAACCCGGAAACUGCAUUGGAUACUAUUCGGCUAGAGGUUUGGAGGGGGGACUGGAAUUCUCGGUGUAGCAGUGAAAUGCGUAGAUAUCGAGAGGAACACCCGUGGCGAAGGCAAGUCCCUGGACAACACCUGACGCUGAGGCACGAAAGCUAGGGGAGCAAACA